rnacentral:rasiRNA from 1 species
CAUGCAAUGCACCCGACUGAUAGACG